CAUGCACUCCGUCCCCACCACGGUCGGGGGUCGGCCGUACCAGGAAAGCAAGAGGACGUCCCAAGCAAGAUGAGCAGCAAGCGGGUGUGCCUGUGCGUCGCCGUUUCCUCGCUCCUCCUCCUCCCACUCGCGGGCCUGGUCUCCGCGGCGGCCGGGCGAUACGACUCCAUCUUCAGCUUCGGCGGCUCCUCCUCCGACACCGGCAACAACCUCAUCGUCUUUCCCCCUAGCGACCGCGUUAACUACGUGCUGCGCCCUCCCUAUGGCUCCACCUUCUUCGGCCGUCCCACCGGCCGCUGCUCCGACGGCCGCCUGGUCAUCGAUUUCAUCGGUACGCCAACGCUACCUACCACUACGUAGUAGACGCAACACCUGGGCCUGCCGUUCGUCCCGCCGUCGCUGGCGCACAACGAAAGCUUCCGCCAAGGCGCCAACUUCGCCGUCAGCGGCUCCACCGCUCUCGACGCCGUUUUCUUCCACCGCCUGCUUCCCCGCACCAGGAGACCUCUCAACACCAGCCUUGGCGUGCAGGUGCAGCUGCGGUGGUUCGAGUCUCUCAAGCCUUCGCUCUGCGGCGCAACCCAAGGUCUCUGUGGUCCAACUCUAAUUCUCGAGUCAUAUACAGUACUUUUUGUCCCAAAUAGAUAACUCAACUUUAUACUAAACUUAGUACAACGUUAGUAUAAAGUCGAGUCACUUAUUUUGAGACAAAGGGACACUAGUAAAAAAGGGCCAAUUGUCCCGGUUCGUAAGGGCCUUUUGUCCCGGUUUUGGAACCGGGACUAAAAGGUCGUUAAUAAUGCCCUUGACAUUUAGUCUCUGUUCUUACACAAACCGGGACAGAUGUGUCUCCACGUGGCCGGUGCGGCGAGCCCAGGCUGGAGGCC